UCCUCAAGCAAAAAGAGGAAGAUUGGCAACAGAUGUUAGCUCCGAGUAAAUCUUCCUCAGGGAAAAAAAAAGGUUUGGCCAAGAUAAAGUAUACAGGGUCAUAGACACAUAUACAAAAUUAUCCUUGGUAUAAGCUUGGGCACCUAUACCCUUUUAUCAGUUGAGUGAAUGUCCCCAGAGAGCCCCGUUUUCUUACAGCAGGGUUAAUUUUGAUGUAUCUGCUGCAGCAUGUCCCUUCACCUUUCCCAUGUUUAAGAUGCUCCUCUCUCCCCAGUUGGUGAUUCUUCAUAACGUUGGUGUCCAGUAACCCACUUGAGGACCUUUUCUUAAUCACCACUAGUUGUUAUAAAAGUUUCUGGAAGGGGGAUAAGGGCAAGCUGGAACUGAUGGCUAAGUAAAGUUAUAGCUGUAGAGUUCAAAUUCUCCAUCAUGCUUAGUUGGCGAUGAAAAGUAAAGAUUCUAAGCAAACUAAUUUUUUGACGGUCCAGUGUUGAUUUUCUUAUAACUCUUAAAAACUAUUUUUUUAACGUUUGUGUGGCUUCAGUACUAUUGAAAGUCAGCUCCCAGACCUUGGGAGCAAGUGUGGUAUCUGCAGAAGGAAUAUUUAACCUGAUGGUGGAUGCUGCCAGAAUCGGAGACGUGUGUAUCUCAGAACCCGUGAUUCCUCAGUUAAUUUGAGGUGGGAGGUGAAGGACUCGGAGCUGUUCGUGCUGCUGGAAUAGCGUGUUUACCCUCAGUCUUUAAUAAAAUAAAUGAAUGGAGGCCUGGGAGGACUGGGAAACACGCUUGAAGGAGGGAGUGCCCCUCACGUUGUAAGCCAAGGUAAACAGUUCUUGUAACUGAAAAGUAGACUUCCUGGAAGGUGAGAACCAGAGAAGUGGGUGUGAAGUGCAGCCAGCAAGUACCAUUUUCAGCUGUUGAGAUAGCUGAGUUACCUGAGUCCUGAAAAGAACCUGUCAGUUAUUUGGGGAAAAUCAGUGUCUUGAACGGGCCUUUGACUGGCCUGUCGUGCCUACAACUGCACCCAGAGACAGCUCUUGGGGAGGAAAGGUCACUUUUGUGCUAGAGAAAGCAAGCAGAUGGGGCUCUCUGAGGGGUAGAAAUGAAGUCGUCAGUGACCUAGGGCAGCCUUGCAGGGGGGCCAGGGCACUGGCAGAAUGCGGUGGGAAGGCGCCCCCGAGUCUGCAUGGGAUUUGGAGUAAUGGAAACAUAGACAUUUUCUUUUCUGUCUGUCCUUUUUUACAGUGGAAAACUGUCAUUACACUGGACAGCUGUGCACACAUUGCACAGUAUGUGAUGUGUGUAUAUGCUUAUGCACGCAUCCCCAUGUGCAAUGUGCACACGUGUAAAGAGAAUCCCUUACAGGGUCACGUUCUUGUCCUGAUCACCUCUUUAUGUCCAUUCUUCUGUGAUAGCAUUUUCUUCCAGUUGGAGCUGUUAGGGUCUGUUAAUUCCAAUGGGGAAAAAAAAUUCUGUCUCUAGCCAUCAUUAAUUAAUUUAUAUAAGUAAGUACAUGUAGAUUGUCUCCUAAGUGGCUUACCUGAAGCUGUGGGCACUUCACUCCUGAGUCCUCUCUUUUGCAGUUGAUAAGGUCCCCAUCAGGUUUGGAGUUGCUGAUGUCCUGCCCAUGCCAUGUGUCAAGAAAGGAGUCCAUCAGAAAGGACUGACACGCAUAUUCCCUGGAACUUUUCAUCCUCAAAGAUUCUUGGAGCUUAAGUGGGAAAGGGCCUUGCCUUGUAAAAACAGACCCAAGUCCCUUUAAUGGUCAGUCAGAAAGGGUUACCUAAAUUCCCUCUCUGUAGUUGGUUUCUUGAACAUCUUAUUUCCCGUAACUAGCUAUGUGUGCUAGGGCCAAAUAUUUGGUCCACUGCCUUCGUUUUAAGGAAAUUAUUGUAAAGGCGACAUAACUCUACUAAACACUUUUGGAAAUAGAGAAGAAAAACAAUGGUCCCAAACGCUCUUGUUCCAAACACAAGAACCAGUUUUGUGUCUUUGCACAUGUGUAUAUAAAUGUAUAUAUACCCUAUCUAGUCUUUCUCUUUAGACAUAUAUUUUUAUCAUACAUCUUGUAUCUUGCUUCUUUCCACUGCAAAUUAUAUCAAAUGUAUGUUCCUACAUAGUCUCCAUUAUUAUAAUUUAAGCUGAUUAAUUGAGAUGUACUCCAACUUUCAGCUUCAUUUCCUUUCAGGACUAUAUAAAAGGCAAGAAGGGGAAAAAAGUCAUUCCAGGUGAACCUAAGAGAAAAUUCUAUGUAGUCUUAAUGGAAUUUAUUUUUGUGCGUGCCAAGGCUCUCCAAGCAGAUGACUGAAAUUGGCUCAUCUCCCCUUACUAAGGAUCUGACCACUGACUGACUGUACAUCUGGUCCUUUGUGUCUAGGGCUUGUGGCAUGAGGACUGUGGCCCUUAAUUGUUUUGUCUUCUGUCCUUGAUACCACCAGGCCUGUGUUGACUCUAAGGACAAUGAAGCUCCGUAAGGUUAAGUAAUGAUUUGUAAACUUUGUGCAAAUAGCCAGCCCCCUGGGUAGGAGGGACAUUUCAAUUCUCUUGCUUUUUUUGGUACAUUAUUGGAUUGCAAAUGUUUAUUUAGUAUGAAAAAUGGAUAUAAUUAACUAAGUCCUAAAUAGGGACUAGAUAUUAACUUCAAGAUGAGUUUGCAGCCUUUGUGCUUUGCAUACAUAUGACAUAUGCUCUUGUUAUCAAGGAUUUUAUCUGAGAAUCUAAAAUGGUUUUCCACUUCCACCAUUUUAUAAAUGAAAACCAGAGGCCUAGAAGUUAUCCCACAAGGCACAUAUAUAAAAUUUGGAAAAACUUGGGUCAUUGUCAGAAUUAAGUUUGUUGAAAUUCUAUUAGGAAAACAGACUUUUUUUUCCUUGUGUUAUUAUUGGCUGAUGUAUUAAUAGUUUUUACAACGCAGAUACUGGUUUCAUAUUCAAAUGUAUAGAUAGCAUAUGUUGUAAUAUUUCAUAUUCAUUUCUCUAAUCUUUAAAAAUACAAAUUAGCUCAGGGCUGGUCUUCCUCAAGCCAAAAGAAAGAGGAAGAUUGACAGCAGGUGUUAACUCAGGACCAAUUGUCCUCAGCAAAAAAAAAAAUUCUCACUCAAAACCAAUUGCACAAACAGUAUGCAAAGUCAAAUCACUGGGCUUCAUAUAUAUUUCAUAUAAAUUUUAAGUGCCUUUUGAGUCAUCAAAGGAAGAUAGGAGCCGACCUGUGGCGUAGUGGUUAAGUUCAUGUGCUCCACGUUUGCAGCCCAGGAUUCACAGGUUCAGAUCCCAGACGAGGACCUAGCACCAAUUGUCAAGCCAUGCUGUGGUGGCAUCCCACAUAAAUAGAGGAAGAUUGGCACAGAUGUUAGCUCAGCAACAAUCUUCCUCAAAAGAAAAAAAAAAGAAAACCUUUGAUUACCUCUGAUAUUAAGUUACUGUUUCUGAAUUAUAAGUCUUUGAAAAUUUGUAAUUCAUGCGUGACGUAUACCAAUCAACUAUGCAAUCCAGAAAACACUGGAUGUUUACAUGGCUGCUUGUUAUGGAGAGAGUAGCCAUUUAGACGUCUUUAAGCCACAACGUGGAUUAAAGUGGUGUAUGCACACAAGUGAAAUUUAACAGAUACUUUUCAGAUCAGCAUAUGAACGUAAAAGAGCACACUUUGUCCUGAAAAAGUCAUUUGAAGGUGAACUCACAUCAAAUUUAAUAGUUUAACCAUGGAUGUUUUGAAAUUUUAGUUAUAUCAUAAAAUAAUAACAUUAAUUAAAGUCAGCAAGUGUGUAAAGUUUUUUAAAAAAUUAAUUAAACACAAAGCUUAGUAGAUACUUAUAUUCAACAACAAUAAGUGAAUAUUUGACACCCACCGCCAUGGCCAAAAUAUGUAGACUGAGAUUGUGUCUCGAGGAUGAAUGAAAAGGUGUGGGAGAGUUGGCCACUCUUAGGGAAAAGGUUUGUAAAGGGGGUGGGCACCUGGGAUCCCCUAAGCUUUCGCCCAAAAUACAGCCUAUAUCUCUUGUUGUAACCAGUUUAUGCAACUUUAUUUAAAGCUGGGAAUCAAUAGAUUGUCUCCAGUACUAACAGUUAAUCAUUAAUCAGAUCAUCUUUAUUAUCAACCAGAACUGCUUGUGUUUUCUUUUCAAAAGCUUCUUAACAAUGUGAUUGGAAAUGUUUGAAUCAAUAGGUAACGAAGUCGAUAUGUAUGUUCCUUGUCAUGUGGGAGAGAGUAAAGCCUGUGUUGGGGUGAAUGUUUCAGCCGGGUGUGAGUUCUGGUACAGUGUCUCUGGGCUGUGUUUCCUUGCUUCCAGGGUCCUGGAGCUUGGCCAACUCACAGGACGGGGAGGAGGAAAGGUUCGGUUUUGAGAGCCCCGGGUUUAUUUCUGGCUGUUGAGAUGUGAGACUGUGGGAGAAGGCAUAAAUAUAGUUGGAGGGAGGUUGUGGACUCGGAGGUUCUCGCCAGGGCUCAACGCUGGAUGGGUUUGUUUCGGGAUGGGUUUGUUUAUGGCUUCUUCACGCUGUUACCUCUCCGAGUUGGUGCUUCCGAGGGUCGACUCUCAGUAUCUGGAUCUCAUUUGGUGGGUAUAUCGGAAGUCUCCCCCAGUGCGCCAACCACGGCCGUUCUGUUCCUUUUCUUUCUGAAUUUGUAGUCAAAUAACUAACUUCCUCACCUGCAAAUAAUGAACACCAAGCGUCUGGAGAAAAGAUAGUUAUGUAAAUAGUAGAAGCAUAUAGCAUUUGGGGCUGCAUUUGUGGGAUGGGGUUUGCAGCUCAGUCUGUGCAUCACCGUCUCCACUGCUCUGAGAGUGAGCAAACGCAGCAGCCCCUGAGCCCCCUACCCCCCUGAGUCUUUUGCUUCUUUAUGGGUUGGUCACAGAUUUCCCCUGUGUGAGUUCUGAAUCCCUUUACCUUGCAUCCACCCAUGUUCAGGAAGUCCCCCAUCCAGCUACUGCCCUGGGUCAGCCUCCAGCCUUGCAGACGGGUGCUCUCUGCUGUUAGCAACUUGGGGGCUCUGCCCAGCCGACCUGACCAUGCCUCUCCUCAUCCCGAGGCACUUGCCUGCCUUCACCGGCGGCACUGACCUCACUCCAGCGCUGGCCCUGCCUCCUCAGCCCUGUUGCUUGCUCCCCAGACUGUGAAUCAACCUGGUCUUGGAGCAUUUUACCCACCUUUGUGGCCAGCGUGUGUUGCUUCCAUUUGUUAGGGAGUGUUAAGCAUGCAGUCUCAAGAAAAACUGCCCAGAGGAGAUGACUUCCUCAGGAGAAAUGUAGAUGAUAAGUUCCUUAAGGAGAAACCACGUUUUAUUACUGAGAGGCAAUGCUGUGUUCUAGUGGGACUUCUGGUUCUGAAGUCAGUUUGUAGUCUAGCCAGGUGACUUGCCUGGUGUGUUACCCUAGCCAGGCGACUUGACCUCUGCACAGUGUCCAUCUGAAAAAUUGGAAUAAUAAUAUCUACCUCAUUGGGUAGAUAAUGAGUAUCUACCUCAUUGGGGUUGUUAUGAGGAAUAACUGAGCAGACUCAUCUGUGUAAAUCUCUUGAACAGUGGCUUGUACAUAGGGAGCAUAUAGUAAGUGUCAGCUGUCCUUGUGCCUCCACAUUAAACACUAUGGUUUAUACCUAAUUGGUGCUUAUUAAAUAUUUUGUUGAGUAAUUGUAAUGUUCAGAGGUAGACAAAUGAUUUGUUCAUUUCUUACCAUAAAAUGAAAAUAAUAUUUGUUUGCAAUAAAGCAUUGUAGGCAUAAGACAUUCCCUCCCUGGUGGGGGCCUGGCUAGUAGGAUGUUCCAAAUUCAGUAUCAAUAACCAUGGGCCUAUGAUUUAUUAAUCAGACCUGUCAUACCCGGCCAGUCAGAAAUCUAUGUUUACUGGCUCCCAAGGUAACUCUGCAAGGGAAAAACAGCUCAGUGAGGUGAUUUAUUUCCAGUAAGCAUUGUUACGGGAACAUUUUGAACUCUAGCAUGUGGGAUGGCUAUGUUAAUGAGGCUCUGCCCUUUCCUUAUGGAUCGCUCUGCCUUCUAACUUGUGUUUGCUUCUAAGGAUGAAGAUCACAGCUGUCACAGAAGGGAGGGACAGGGGCUGUGAUCCUAAAGACAAGAGUUUUUAACCCAGAACCUGGAGAUUACAAUUUGGAAAAGAUGGUUUUUAAAAAGUGAU